UACGGGGGGGGCAAGCGUUGUUCGGAAUUACUGGGCGUAAAGGGCUCGUAGGCGGCCAACUAAGUCAUACGUGAAAUCCCUCGGCUUAACCGGGGAACUGCGUCUGAUACUGGAUGGCUUGAGUUCGGGAGAGGGAUGCGGAAUUCCAGGUGUAGCGGUGAAAUGCGUAGAUAUCCGGAGGAACACCGGUGGCGAAGGCGGCUUCCUGGACCGACACUGACGCUGAGGCGCGAAAGCUAGGGGAGCAAACGGG
rnacentral:rRNA from 1 species